UACGUAGGGUCCGAGCGUUGUCCGGAAUUAUUGGGCGUAAAGAGCUCGUAGGCGGUUUGUCGCGUCUGCUGUGAAAUCCCGAGGCUCAACCUCGGGCCUGCAGUGGGUACGGGCAGACUGGAGUGCGGUAGGGGGAGAAUGGAAUUCCUGGUGUAGCGGUGGAAUGCGCAGAUAUCAGGAGGAACACCGAUGGCGAAGGCAGUUCUCUGGGCCGUAACUGACGCUGAGGAGCGAAAGCGUGGGGAGCGAACAGG
rnacentral:rRNA from 1 species